UUCUGGCGUAGACAACUGUGGUUGGGGUGCCAGUAGCUUCAUCAAAUACUUUGGUUCUGCUUUCAUUCUGUUUUAAACUGAACGGCGAAUGAUUUGAGAACCGUGCUAGUUUAUAACGAAAGUCGCUGACUAUAUGCUACUUGUACUGAAAGAAAUCUAAGUUUGGUUGUACUUAUCCAAUCUAACAGAAAACUUAUUAACAUGAAGCUGUUGGUCGCAUCUUUGUUGCUUCUCUUUGUUUUUGCAUGUCAGGGUGUGUCACUCACAGUAAAGCCGUUAUGUAGCACCUGUGCUGUCGGUGACCAGGUGUGUCUGUCACAGUGCCAGACGGGACUGUUCCCGCUGGUCAAGAGGAACUGUAUCUGUGGACUCAGUGACCCCAACUCGCUGGAAUGUCUGAUGGUCGAUGUCUGUGAGGGGGUGGGCAAAUAAAUCUCAAUGCUGCAAUAAUU